CUAAUACAUGCAAGUCGAGCGAGCGGAACCAACAGAUUUACUUCGGUAAUGACGUUGGGAAAGCGAGCGGCGGAUGGGUGAGUAACACGUGGGGAACCUGCCCCUAAGUCUGGGAUACCAUUUGGAAACAGGUGCUAAUACCGGAUAAUAAAGCAGAUCGCAUGAUCAGCUUUUGAAAGGCGGCGUAAGCUGUCGCUAAGGGAUGGCCCCGCGGUGCAUUAGCUAGUUGGUAAGGUAACGGCUUACCAAGGCGACGAUGCAUAGCCGAGUUGAGAGACUGAUCGGCCACAUUGGGACUGAGACACGGCCCAAACUCCUACGGGAGGCAGCAGUAGGGAAUCUUCCACAAUGGACGCAAGUCUGAUGGAGCAACGCCGCGUGAGUGAAGAAGGUUUUCGGAUCGUAAAGCUCUGUUGUUGGUGAAGAAGGAUAGAGGUAGUAACUGGCCUUUAUUUGACGGUAAUCAACCAGAAAGUCACGGCUAACUACGUGCCAGCAGCCGCGGUAAUACGUAGGUGGCAAGCGUUGUCCGGAUUUAUUGGGCGUAAAGCGAGCGCAGGCGGAAAAAUAAGUCUAAUGUGAAAGCCCUCGGCUUAACCGAGGAACUGCAUCGGAAACUGUUUUUCUUGAGUGCAGAAGAGGAGAGUGGACUCCAUGUGUAGCGGUGGAAUGCGUAGAUAUAUGGAAGAACACCAGUGGCGAAGGCGGCUCUCUGGUCUG
rnacentral:rRNA from 1 species